rnacentral:tRNA from 1 species
GGGGUUGUGGAUCAAUGGAAGAGCGCUUGCCUAGCACGCAUGAGGCACUGGGUUUGAUUCUCAGCACCACA